GGAGAGGGAGCCUGAGAAACGGCUACCACAUCUAAGGAAGGCAGCAGGCGCGCAAAUUACCCAAUCCUAAUACAGGGAGGUAGUGACAAGAAAUAACAAUACAGGACUUUUUGGUUUUGUAAUUGGAAUGAGUUAAGUAUAAACCCCUUUACAAGUAUCAAUUGGAGGGCAAGUCUGGUGCCAGCAGCCGCGGUAAUUCCAGCUCCAAUAGCGUAUAUUAAAGUUGUUGCAGUUAAAAAGCUCGUAGUUGGAUUUCUGUUAAUAAUUUAUAUAAAAUAUUUUGAUGAAUAUUUAUAUAAUAUUAACAUAAUUCAUAUUACUAUAAUAUAUUUUAGUAUAUGAAAUUUUACUUUGAGAAAAUUAGAGUGCUUAAAGCAGGCAUAUGCCUUGAAUACUCCAGCAUGGAAUAAUAUUAAAGAUUUUUAUCUUUUUUAUUGGUUCUAAGAUAAGAAUAAUGAUUAAUAGGGACAGUUGGGGGCAUUUGUAUUUAACAGUCAGAGGUGAAAUUCUUAGAUUUGUUAAAGACAAACUAAUGCGAAAGCAUUU
rnacentral:rRNA from 1 species